rnacentral:lncRNA from 1 species
AGAAGUUCGAACCCUUAAAAGAUGUACUAAAAUUUUAGCAGUCCAUUUUCCCUGAAACAACAAUUUAACUGCUGCUAAAUCCAAAAUUGUAACCUAUAAUGAACGAAAAUCUGUCCGAAAAAGGAAAAAAAAAACAGAAAUGUUUAACGAGCAGCUUCGUUAAUACAAAAUUUAAAACCUCAUAUUGUAAAUGAAUCAACUACACUAUAAGCUAUCAGGUGUCAAGUUCACAUAGGCAGUGUAACACAGUAUUAUAAAUGUAACACAAAAAUUAAACUGAAAUGAAGAAUAGCGGCGAAACUGAAUUAAGUGAAAAUGAAAAAUACAGAUCUAUAUGUAAUAGUGGAAAUUGAAUGGGAGAAGAGUGAGCUGAUACCUAAAAUUGCGAGGAGAGAGAAGUGGAGGAAGGAGGUUAGGGUUUCAAACCCUAGAGCGACAUCGCCAAUAGCUGAGAAUGAGAUGGAUGGAUUUUUUGAAGAGAAAAGGGACGAUUCAACGUUCAAGCGGCUGCUGCUAUAAACGCGUGUUAAGCUGAAGAAUGCAUUUCCA